GAGGAUGAUGAUGUGAUUUUGUCGCCCCAGUCUUAGGUCCGCUCUAAUCGCGGCCUUUGCUGAUUGACACUUUUGAAUCUGACUC
rnacentral:snoRNA from 2 species